ACCCUUCCGGUUCGUUACAAGAGAGUUAGGGGAAAAAUGAUAAACGCCAAAAUUUGGCUCGGCAAAAGGAAGUCUUGUGACAGAGUGUUAUUUGUGGUGAAUACUCUUCCAACAAUAACACCUGGAGGGACAUUACCUUGGUUCGCCUAGAACAUUGGUAAGUACCUUUUGAACUCUUAACAAGAUUUUGACUUCCCUGGAUUUUUGACUUUCUGUCAAAACUCCAGUAGGUGAUCAUACGCCGUGUAGGUGGGGGCGAAGAGGAUACUCUCCAUUCGUUCUCGGGGUAGAGGUUUAGGCCCAGGGGUGACGGCUAGUCUCCUGGGGAAGCGAGGAACCAGCUUUUGACAGUUAGUUCGCGAUUUUGACGCUCACGACGAGUGAGAGUGUGUGUGAGGAUUUUUAUUUUGUAAAGAACAGUUUUGAUCGGAUCUUCGUUACCGACGGAAGGUAUGCGUGCGUUUUACCGAAGACAGCA